rnacentral:rRNA from 1 species
AGAGUUUGAUCAUGGCUCAGAUUGAACGCUGGCGGCAUGCCUUACGCAUGCAAGUCGAACGGUAACAGGUCUUCGGAUGCUGACGAGUGGCGAACGGGUGAGUAAUACAUCGGAACGUGCCCGAUCGUGGGGGAUAACGGAGCGAAAGCUUUGCUAAUACCGCAUACGAUCUACGGAUGAAAGCAGGGGACCGCAAGGCCUUGCGCGGACGGAGCGGCCGAUGGCAGAUUAGGUAGUUGGUGGGAUAAAAGCUUACCAAGCCGACGAUCUGUAGCUGGUCUGAGAGGACGACCAGCCACACUGGGACUGAGACACGGCCCAGACUCCUACGGGAGGCAGCAGUGGGGAAUUUUGGACAAUGGGCGAAAGCCUGAUCCAGCCAUGCCGCGUGCAGGAUGAAGGCCUUCGGGUUGUAAACUGCUUUUGUACGGAACGAAAAGACUCCUUCUAAUAAAGGGGGUCCAUGACGGUACCGUAAGAAUAAGCACCGGCUAACUACGUGCCAGCAGCCGCGGUAAUGCGUAGGGUGCAAGCGUUAAUCGGAAUUACUGGGCGUAAAGCGUGCGCAGGCGGUUAUAUAGGACAGAUGUGAAAUCCCCGGGCUCAACCUGGGAACUGCAUUUGUGACUGUAUAGCUAGAGUACGGUAGAGGGGGAUGGAAUUCCGCGUGUAGCAGUGAAAUGCGUAGAUAUGCGGAGGAACACCGAUGGCGAAGGCAAUCCCCUGGACCUGUACUGACGCUCAUGCACGAAAGCGUGGGGAGCAAACAGGAUUAGAUACCCCGGUAGUCC